GUGCUUACUUUGACAGCACAUAUACUAAAAUUGGGACUAUACAGAGAAGCAUGGCCCCUGAGCAAGGAUGACACACAAAUUUGUGAAGCAUUCCAUAUUUUU
ensembl:snRNA U6 U6 spliceosomal RNA